UUAGUCAUAAUAUUUCUUACUGGGCUAGUUGAGCUCACCCUUUUCUUUCAUUGUUCUCUUUAGGAAAUAAGAAUAUAGUUGGGACAAGUUGGGCAAUGAAGUAAUGGUCCAGGAUAAGUGGCUUUAGUAUUCCUCACUAUUCUAUGAAAUAGUGUGAUAAUAAUUGUAAUGAGGACUUCAUUGAGAGUGGAUAUUGUUUAGAAGACAAUAUUCUUGUUUAAACUCUUAGCUAUGUUUUGUCGUAUAUUACACGACAGUUGUAUUAAAGAAGUUUGUAUUUGAGUUCUGUACCAUGUAUUUGGCAACUCAAGAUGGGUGAUGUAUACCUGUUUUGGGGGCGUCACAGACAAUGUCUAGAAGUUCUGUCAAGGAGAGGUUAGAUAAUCUAAUUGCGCGCCAAUAGGGAGAAAUCCUUAUCGGAAAUCCCCUUCUUUCCUGGGAACGACCUGAUUGUUAAAUAUUGUGAGUUAUAAUAUUAAUGAUGAAUAAGUUUGUGUUGAUUAAAG
rnacentral:lncRNA from 1 species